rnacentral:rRNA from 1 species
UACGAAGGGAGCUAGCGUUGUUCGGAAUCACUGGGCGUAAAGCGCACGCAGGCGGAUUUGUCAGUCAGAGGUGAAAUCCCGGGGCUCAACCUCGGAACUGCCUUUGAUACAGCAAGUCUUGAGUUCGAGAGAGGUGGGUGGAAUUCCUAGUGUAGAGGUGAAAUUCGUAGAUAUUAGGAAGAACACCGGUGGCGAAGGCGGCCCACUGGCUCGAUACUGACGCUGAGGUGCGAAAGCGUGGGGAGCAAACAGG